rnacentral:rRNA from 1 species
CGAGUGGCGAACGGGUGAGUAACACGUGGGUGAUCUGCCCUGCACUUCGGGAUAAGCCUGGGAAACUGGGUCUAAUACCGGAUAGGAGCCAUUUUUAGUGUGAUGGUUGGAAAGUUUUUCGGUGUAGGAUGAGCUCGCGGCCUAUCAGCUUGUUGGUGGGGUAAUGGCCUACCAAGGCGGCGACGGGUAGCCGGCCUGAGAGGGUGAUCGGCCACACUGGAACUGAGACACGGUCCAG